GUCUAUGGCCAUACCACCCUGAACGUGCCCAAUCUUGUCUGAUCCCGGAAGCAAAGCAGGGUCGGGCCUGGUUAGUACUUGAUGGGAGAAUUGUGUUCAAAGAAU
rnacentral:rRNA from 1 species